rnacentral:rRNA from 1 species
CGGCUUCGAGUUGUAAACCUCUUUGGCAGGGAAGAAGCUCCUGGAGUGACGGUACUGCAGAAAAAGCACCGGCUAACUACGUGCCAGCAGCGCGGUAAUACGUAGGGUGCAAGCGUUAUCCGGAAUUAUUGGGCGUAAAGAGCUCGUAGGCGGUUUGUCGCGUCUGCUGUGAAAUCCCGAGGCUCAACCUCGGGCUGCAGUGGGUACGGGCAGACUAGAGUGCGGUAGGGGAGAUUGGAAUUCCUGGUGUAGCGGUGGAAUGCGCAGAUAUCAGGAGGAACACCGAUGGCGAAGGCAGAUCUCUGGGCCGUAACUGACGCUGAGGAGCGAAAGGGUGGGGAGCAAACAGGCUUAGAUACCCUGGUAGUCCACCCCGUAAACGCUGGGAACUAGUUGUGGGGUCCUUUCCACGGAUUCCGUGACGCAGCUAACGCAUUAAGUUCCCCGCCUGGGGAGUACGGCCGCAAGGCUAAAACUCAAAGGAAUUGACGGGGACCCGCACAAGCGGCGGAGCAUGCGGAUUAAUUCGAUGCAACGCGAAGAACCUUACCAAGGCUUGACAUACACCGGAAACGGCCAGAGAUGGUCGCCCCGCAAGGUCGGUGUACAGGUGGUGCAUGGUUGUCGUCAGCUCGUGUCGUGAGAUGUUGGGUUAAGUCCCGCAACGAGCGCAACCCUCGUUCUAUGUUGCCAGCACGUGAUGGUGGGAACUCAUGGGAUACUGCCGGGGUCAACUCGGAGGAAGGUGGGGAUGACGUCAAAUCAUCAUGCCCCUUAUGUCUUGGGCUUCACGCAUGCUACAAUGGCCGGUACAAAGGGCUGCAAUACCGUGAGGUGGAGCGAAUCCCAAAAAGCCGGUCCCAGUUCGGAUUGAGGUCUGCAACUCGACCUCAUGAAGUCGGAGUCGCUAGUAAUCGCA